rnacentral:rRNA from 1 species
CCACGGGCGGCUGCAGCAGGGAAUAUUGCACAAUGGACGGAAGUCUGAUGCAGCGACGCCGCGUGGAUGAUGAAGGCCCUCGGGUUGUAAAAUCCUUUUCAGGGGGACGAGGAAGGACGGUACCCUUGGAAUAAGCGUCGGCUAACUACGUGCCAGCAGCCGCGGUAAGACGUAGGACGCAAGCGUUAUCCGGAUUUACUGGGCGUAAAGCGUCUGUAGGCGGAAUGGUAAGUUGGACGUGAAAGCUCCGGGCUCAACCCGGAGAGGUCGUUCAAUACUGCCAAACUAGAGGGCAUCAGAGGAGCGUGGAAUUUCCGGUGUAGCGGUAAAAUGCGCAGAUAUCGGAAGGAACACCAAUGGCGAAGGCAGCGCUCUGGGAUGAACCUGACGCUAAGAGACGAAAGCUAGGGGGCGAACAGGAUUAGAUACCCUAGUAGUC